rnacentral:sRNA from 1 species
AGCAGCCGCGGUAAUUCCAGCUCCAAUAGCGUAUAUUAAAGUUGUUGCAGUUAAAAAGCUCGUAGUUGAACUUCGGGAUCAAUCGAUUGGUCAUGCCUUGGUAUGUACUGUUCAUAUUGGUUCUCACCUUCUAAUGAACCAUAAUGUCAUUUAUUUGAUGUUAUGGGGAAUUAGGACUGUUACCUUGAAAAAAUUAGAGUGUUUAAAGCAGGCUCACGCUUGAAUACAUUAGCAUGGAAUAAUGAAAUAGGACAUCGCAUUCUAUUUUGUUGGUUUCUAGGAUCGAUGUAAUGAUUAAUAGGGAUAGUUGGGGGCAUUAGUAUUCAAUUGUCAGAGGUGAAAUUCUUGGAUUUAUUGAAGACUAACUACUGCGAAAGCAUUUGCCAAGGAUGUUUUCAUUAAUCAAGAACGAAAGUUAGGGGAUCGAAGACGAUCAGAUACCGUCGUAGUCUUAACCAUAAACUAUGCCGACUAGGGAUCGGAUGAUGUUGAUUUUUUU